ensembl:lncRNA
UCUCAUCAUAUAGCAGGCAGCAAUGUAGUGGUCUGCCAACCCACAUCUCUCUCAUCAUAUAGCAGGCAGCAAUGUAGUGGUCUGCCAACCCACAUCUCCCUCAUCAUAUAGCAGGCAGCAAUGUAGUGGUCUGCCAACCCACAGCUCUCUCAUCUCUCUCAUCAUAUAGCAGGCAGCAAUGUAGUGGUCUGCCAACCCACAGCUCUCUCAUCAUAUAGCAGGCAGCAAUGUAGUGGUCUGCCAACCCACAUCUCUCUCAUCUCUCUCAUCAUAUAGCAGGCAGCAAUGUAGUGGUCUGCCAACCCACAUCUCCCUCAUCAUAUAGCAGGCAGCAAUGUAGUGGUCUGCCAACCCACAUCUCUCUCAUCAUAUAGCAGGUAGCAAUGUAGUGGUCUGCCAACCCACAUCUCUCUCAUCAUAUAGCAGGCAGCAAUGUAGUGGUCUGCCAACCCACAUCUCUCUCAUCAUAUAGCAGGCAGCAAUGUAGUGGUCUGCCAACCCACAUCUCUCUCAUCUCCCUCAUCAUAUAGCAGGCAGCAAUGUAGUGGUCUGCCAACCCCCAGCUCUCUCAUCUCCCUCAUCAUAUAGCAGGCAGCAAUGUAGUGGUCUGCCAACCCACAUCUCUCUCAUCAUAUAGCAGGCAGCAAUGUAGUGGUCUGCCAACCCACAGCUCUCUCAUCUCCCUCAUCAUAUAGCAGGCAGCAAUGUAGUGGUCUGCCAACCCACAGCUCUCUCAUCAUAUAGCAGGCAGCAAUGUAGUGGUCUGCCAACCCACAUCUCUCUCAUCAUAUAGCAGGCAGCAAUGUAGUGGUCUGCCAACCCAUCUCUCAUCUCUCUCAUCAUAUAGCAGGCAGCAAUGUAGUGGUCUGCCAACCCACAUCUCUCAUCAUAUAGCAGGCAGCAAUGUAGUGGUCUGCCAACCCACAGCUCUCUCAUCAUAUAGCAGGCAGCAAUGUAAUUUAAACAUUACAGAAGUCUGAAAUAUAACUGUUAACUGUUUGACAUAGAAACACCAGAUUUUCAUCAAGUAAAAAAAAAAAAAAAAAAUGUUUAUGAAAUUAUGAAAAGCAUGAAUAACAUUCCACCCACGAGGCUUUUGGUAAUUGACUGCAGGACAGCGCCUCAUACAGACCCAAAGCUAAUCUGUCCUUGAUCUAGAUGACAUGAACAAAUAUUCCAGUCAGAGCGAUGACCAUCUCAUUCUGAGCUUAAAGUUCCACAACAUUCUCUCUCUCUCUCUCUCUGAUGACCAUCUCAUUCUGAG